AUUCACAGAGAAAAUGUUCUGCUGGAAAUAUGGGGCAACAUUCAGCCUGUACACACAUAGACUAGGGAUUCCACCAAAAACUGAAAGAGAAAAGAAGCUGAUGUACUCAAACAAUCCCUGGCAAGAGAAAUUAAUUUGUGAAAUGAAAGAAUGCACAGACAUAACAUUUUAAUAUUUGUUUGUACAAAAAUUGACAUUGAAAGGAAUUUACUGUAUGUGUACUUAAAAUAGCGAGCUUCAUAUUUUAGUUGUUUUUGAGCAGACGAGGAUGUGCUAAUUCAUAAAUACCACUAAAAAUUCAUUUAUAAAUAGAAUAUACGACACAAAUAUUUGUAGCAUUAAUUCAAGAUUAUGCCAACAACCAUAUCCAUUGAUUGUGCUAAAUUUUGAAAACACCAAGUUAUGUACAUGUACAGUAUUUUUCCAAAGCUUGAACUUUUUUCUGUUAACGAUUUUGCUUAUUUUAUUCAUGGCUGUAAAUAAAUAAAACAAAAAAGAUUGUAUUAAAUAUUUAUACAUAUUUA